rnacentral:lncRNA from 1 species
ACGAAUCAUCUUUCAUUCAUCUCUCACGCUCUUUUCUUUUUUACUUCAAACACGUUAUCAGCACUACGCUCUACCUUGAGAGAAAAGACCAAUCAAGACGACAGAACAUUGGCAGUUCUUGCUACAGAAUCGAGCGCACCGUAGUCACAGUGGAUGGAUACAGAUCGAUCCAUGGCUUCUAGCCGGUCUUAUUGCUCCAUCCGUCAACGGGAACAUCCUUACAUCAGCGGCGAGGAACUCGGCUAGCGCAAGACAUGGCUGCUCAGUGCCGCCCGUUCCCGGCCACAGCGUUGUUCCAUUGCUGGAAGAUUCCACUAUUGCAUCCACACAAAGACGACCAUACAUGCAUCCAUGAAAGGGAAAUCUAUCAGGAGUCCAUGCAAAGACGGACAUGCAUCUGCCAUACGUACACGAGAAAACCGAACGUCUAUUUAAUUGUGUUUUCUUAUGAUAAAUCAUGGAUCUAAUAGUAGCUUUUUAUUAUGAAUUUGAAAUACUGCGAGCGUUGUGAGAAGGAUAAUCGAUCAUUGUGUACGAACCGUAAACGAUGUAUUUCUUCACCAUCAUGCAGCGACAUUCCACGUCCAUAGCGAUUCCAUUAGCGAUGGGGAGCACCUGGGACGAGCAGCGGCUAUGCGUCAGCCAUGGCCGGCCCAGCGGCCGCAUCACUCGACUGCGGAUGCCUGCACCACGACGUCUCGUCGACGCAACACCUUCUACAAACAAGACGGAUCAAUGUUUAACACAUGGAUUUCCCACAUCCAUGACAACCUUUGCACCUCCACCGGCGCACGGCGCGGCUUCUUCCAAGAAGUGGUAGCCCAUGCAUCUCUCCACCCUCUGACAGAACACAGCCAAGGCCCACACGGGGCUUCCCCUCCAACUUCCCUUAGUGCCAAAUAAGGCCAUGAGACUUAAUACUACUACUAGUGUUCACGCCCAUGCCUAUGGCAAGUGUUUGGUGGCUUAUACUAUGCAUAAAGUUUUAAGACAAGAAUUUUGCAUAAAAUACACAUGGUAUUACCGUGCAAGUGUUCAUACAUUAUAAUAUCAUCAAGUGUAGAACAUUAUACACUAGUGAUGGCAUUACUUCAUAUUGUAUAUGUUUGCCUCAACAUUCUUUAUAUAAUACUAGCA